UAAGGAAUAUUGGUCAAUGGACGCAAGUCUGAACCAGCCAUGCCGCGUGAAGGAUGAAGGUCCUCUGGAUUGUAAACUUCUUUUAUCUGGGACGAAACCGGGAUUUUUAUCUCAAUUGACGGUACCAGAGGAAUAAGCACCGGCUAACUCCGUGCCAGCAGCCGCGGUAAUACGGAGGGUGCGAGCGUUAUCCGGAUUUACUGGGUUUAAAGGGUGCGUAGGUGGGCUUAUAAGUCAGUGGUGAAAUCUCCGAGCUUAACUUGGAAACUGCCGUUGAUACUAUAGGUCUUGAAUUAUCUGGAGGUAAGCGGAAUAUGUCAUGUAGCGGUGAAAUGCUUAGAUAUGACAUAGAACACCAAUUGCGAAGGCAGCUUACUACAUAUAAAUUGACGCUGAGGCACGAAAGCGUGGGGAUCAAACA
rnacentral:rRNA from 1 species